rnacentral:rRNA from 1 species
AGAACCUUACCUGGGUUUGACAUCCUCGGACCGCUCCAGAGAUGGAGUUUUCGUAGCAAUACGACCGGGAGACAGGUGCUGCAUGGCUGUCGUCAGCUCGUGUGGUGACAUGUUGGGUUAAGUCCCGCAACGAGCGCAACCCUUGUCCUUAGUUGCCAGCAUUUCAGUUGGGCUCUCUAAGGAGACUGCCGUGGUUAACACGGAGGAAGGUGGGGAUGACGUCAAGUCCUCAUGGCCUUUAUAUCCAGGGCGACACACGUGAUACAAUGGACGUUACAGAGGGACGCGACCGCGCAAGCGUUAGCCAAUCCCAAAAAGACGUUCUCAGUUCGGAUUGGAGUCUGCAACUCGACUCCAUGAAGUUGGAAUCGCUAGUAAUCGCGGAUCAGCACGCCGCGGUGAAUACGUUCCCGGGCCUUGUCACACCGA